rnacentral:rRNA from 1 species
CCUACGGUGAGCAGCAGUGAGGAAUAUUGGUCAAUGGACGCAAGUCUGAACCAGCCAUGCCGCGUGCAGGAAGACGGCUCUAUGAGUUGUAAACUGCUUUUGUACGAGGGUAAACGCAGAUACGCGUAUCUGUCUGAAAGUAUCGUACGAAUAAGGAUCGGCUAACUCCGUGCCAGCAGCCGCGGUAAUACGGAGGAUUCAAGCGUUAUCCGGAUUUAUUGGGGUUAAAGGGUGCGUAGGCGGUCGGAUAAGUUAGAGGUGAAAUCCCGGGGCUCAACUUCGGAAUUGCCUUUGAUACUGGUCGGCUAGAGAGUAGUUGCGGUAGGCGGAAUGUAAGGUGUAGCGGUGAAAUGCUUAGAGAUCAUACAGAACACCGAUUGCGAAGGCAGCUUACCAAGCUACUUCUGACGUUGAGGCACGAAAGCGUGGGGAGCAAACAGGAUUAGAUACCCCGGUAGUC